UGGCGGACGGGUGAGUAAUGUCUGGGAAACUGCCUGAUGGAGGGGGAUAACUACUGGAAACGGUAGUUAAUACCGCAUAACGUCGCAAGACCAAAGAGGGGGACCUUCGGGCCUCUUGCCAUCGGAUGUGCCCAGAUGGGAUUAGCUAGUAGGUGGGGUAACGGCUCACCUAGGCGACGAUCCCUAGCUGGUCUGAGAGGAUGACCAGCCACACUGGAACUGAGACACGGUCCAG
rnacentral:rRNA from 1 species